rnacentral:tRNA from 1 species
GGGGGAUUAGCUCAGUUGGGAGAGCGCCGCCUUUGCACGGCGGAGGUCACCGGUUCGAUCCCGGUAUCCUCCA